rnacentral:rRNA from 1 species
CCUACGGGUGGCAGCAGUGGGGAAUAUUGGACAAUGGGCGGAAGCCUGAUCCAGCCAUGCCGCGUGUGUGAAGAAGGCCUUCGGGUUGUAAAGCACUUUCAGUGGGGAAGAAAGCCUUGGGGCUAAUACCCUCGAGGAAGGACAUCACCCACAGAAGAAGCACCGGCUAACUCCGUGCCAGCAGCCGCGGUAAUACGGAGGGUGCGAGCGUUAAUCGGAAUUACUGGGCGUAAAGCGCGCGUAGGCGGUCUGAUAAGCCGGUUGUGAAAGCCCCGGGCUCAACCUGGGAACGGCAUCCGGAACUGUCAGGCUAGAGUGCAGGAGAGGAAGGUAGAAUUCCCGGUGUAGCGGUGAAAUGCGUAGAGAUCGGGAGGAAUACCAGUGGCGAAGGCGGCCUUCUGGACUGACACUGACGCUGAGGUGCGAAAGCGUGGGUAGCAAACAGGAUUAGAUACCCCAGUAGUC